rnacentral:misc_RNA from 1 species
UACGGAGGAUCCGAACGUUAUUCGGUAUCACUGGGUUUAAAGGGUCCGUAGGCGGGAUGAUAAGUCAGUGGUGAAAGUCUGCAGCUCAACUGUAGAACUGCCAUUGAUACUGUUGUCCUUGAGUCAUUAUGAAGUGGUUAGAAUAUGUAGUGUAGCGGUGAAAUGCAUAGAUAUUACAUAGAAUACCGAUUGCGAAGGCAGAUCACUAAUAAUGUACUGACGCUGAUGGACGAAAGCGUAGGUAGCGAACAGG